rnacentral:tRNA from 2 species
GCAGGGAUGGUGUUAACGGCAGCACAGGGGUCUCCAAAGCCUUUGGUCUGGGUUCAAAUCCUAGUCUCUGCG